UUAGUGGCGAACGGGUGAGUAACACGUGAGUAACCUGCCCUUGACUCUGGGAUAAGCCUGGGAAACUGGGUCUAAUACUGGAUACGACCUUCCAUCGCAUGGUGGUUGGUGGAAAGCUUUUGUGGUUUUGGAUGGACUCGCGGCCUAUCAGCUUGUUGGUGGGGUAAUGGCCUACCAAGGCGACGACGGGUAGCCGGCCUGAGAGGGUGGACGGCCACACUGGGACUGAGACACGGCCCAGACUCCUACGGGAGGCAGCAGUGGGGAAUAUUGCACAAUGGGCGCAAGCCUGAUGCAGCGACGCCGCGUGAGGGAUGAAGGCCUUCGGGUUGUAAACCUCUUUCAGUAGGGAAGAAGCGAAAGUGACGGUACCUGCAGAAGAAAGCGCCGGCUAACUACGUGCCAGCAGCCGCGGUAAUACGUAGGGCGCAAGCGUUAUCCGGAAUUAUUGGGCGUAAAGAGCUCGUAGGCGGUUUGUCGCGUCUGCCGUGAAAGUCCGGGGCUUAACCCCGGAUCUGCGGUGGGUACGGGCAGACUUGAGUGAUGUAGGGGAGACUGGAAUUCCUGGUGUAGCGGUGAAAUGCGCAGAUAUCAGGAGGAACACCGAUGGCGAAGGCAGGUCUCUGGGCAUUAACUGACGCUGAGGAGCGAAAGCAUGGGGAGCGAACAGGAUUAGAUACCCUGGUAGUCCAUGCCGUAAACGUUGGGCACUAGGUGUGGGGGACAUUCCACGUUUUCCGCGCCGUAGCUAACGCAUUAAGUGCCCCGCCUGGGGAGUACGGCCGCAAGGCUAAAACUCAAAGGAAUUGACGGGGGCCCGCACAAGCGGCGGAGCAUGCGGAUUAAUUCGAUGCAACGCGAAGAACCUUUACCAAGGCUUGACAUGAACCGGAACGGCGCAGAGAUGUGUCGGCCACUUGUGGCCGGUUUACAGGUGGUGCAUGGUUGUCGUCAGCUCGUGUCGUGAGAUGUUGGGUUAAGUCCCGCAACGAGCGCAACCCUCGUUCCAUGUUGCCAGCGGGUUAUGCCGGGGACUCAUGGGAGACUGCCGGGGUCAACUCGGAGGAAGGUGGGGACGACGUCAAAUCAUCAUGCCCCUUAUGUCUUGGGCUUCACGCAUGCUACAAUGGCCGGUACAAAGGGUUGCGAUGCUGUGAGGUGGAGCUAAUCCCAAAAAGCCGGUCUCAGUUCGGAUUGAGGUCUGCAACUCGACCUCAUGAA
rnacentral:rRNA from 1 species